rnacentral:rRNA from 1 species
GACAGAGGGUGCAAACGUUGUUCGGAAUUACUGGGCGUAAAGCGCGUGUAGGCGGCUCGAUAAGUCGGAUGUGAAAGCCCUGAGCUCAACCUAGGAAGUGCAUUCGAAACUGCCGAGCUUGAGUUCUGGAGAGGAAGGCGGAAUUCUCGGUGUAGAGGUGAAAUUCGUAGAUAUCGAGAGGAACACCGGUGGCGAAGGCGGCCUUCUGGACAGCAACUGACGCUGAGACGCGAAAGCGUGGGGAGCAAACAGG